rnacentral:ncRNA from 1 species
AUAAAUUUUAGUGUUAAAUUUAUUUUAUUUUAAAAAUAAAAUUAUCAAUAAAUUAGUAAUUAAUAUUAAAUUAUUUAAGAAAUUAAUAUUUAGUAAUAUUUAAAUUAAUAACAAAUUUUGUGCCAGCAGUUGCGGUUAAACAAAGAUUAAAUUAAAUUUUAUUAGUUAAAUUAAUAAAUAAAAUAAUUAUAAAUAAUGAAAAUUUUAAAUUAUUAGGUGAAAUUUUAAUUUAAUAAAAUAUUAUAAAAAAUUAUGAUUUAAUAAAUUUUAUUAAAAACUAGGAUUAGAUACCCUAUUAUUAAAAUUUUAAAUUAAAAUACUAAAAUAGUAAAUAAUUAUUUAUUGAAACUUAAAUAAUUUGGCGGUAUUUUAGUUCAUUUAGAGGAAUCUGUUUAAUAAUUGAUAAUCCACGAAUAAAUUUACUUAAUUUUUAAUUUUGUAUAUCAUUGUUAAAAAAAUAUUUUUAAAUAAAAAUAAUAUUUUAAAAUUAUGAAUUAAAUUUAAAUCAGAUCAAGAUGCAGAUUAUAAUUAAGAAUAUAAUGGAUUACAAUAAAUUUAUUUAAAUGAAUAUUAAUUUGAAAUAAUUAAUUGAAAGUGGAUUUAAAUGUAAUUUUAUUUAAUUUAAUAAAAUGAUUAAAAAUUGAAAUAUGUACAUAUUGCCCGUCGCUUUCAUAUAUUAAUAAAUUGAAAUAAGUCGUAACAAAGUAGAGGUACUGGAAAGUGUUUCUAGAAAGAA